GACGAACGCUGGCGGCGUGCCUAACACAUGCAAGUCGAGCGAGGGACUUCGGUCCCUAGCGGCGGACGGGUGAGUAACACGUGGGUAACCUGCCUCAUAGAGGGGGAUAGCCUCCCGAAAGGGAGAUUAAUACCGCAUAACAUGUUUUGAUUGCAUGAUUGAAACAUUAAAGGGGUAAUCCGCUAUGAGAUGGACCCGCGGCGCAUUAGCUAGUUGGAGAGGUAACGGCUCACCAAGGCGACGAUGCGUAGCCGACCUGAGAGGGUGAUCGGCCACAUUGGAACUGAGAUACGGUCCAGACUCCUACGGGAGGCAGCAGUGGGGAAUAUUGGACAAUGGGCGAAAGCCUGAUCCAGCCAUGCCGCGUGGGUGAAGAAGGCCUUAGGGUUGUAAACCCCUUUCAGCAGGGAAGAUAAUGACGGUACCCGCAGAAGAAGUCCCGGCUAACUCCGUGCCAGCAGCCGCCGUAAAAC
rnacentral:rRNA from 1 species